rnacentral:rRNA from 1 species
AGAGUUUGAUCAUGGCUCAGAGCGAACGCUGGCGGCAUGCUUAAUACAUGCAAGUCGCACGGCCGGGGGCAACUCCGGCAGUGGCGGACGGGUGAGUAACGCGUAGGAAUCUUUCCAUGGGUGGGGGAUAACGCCGGGAAACUGGUGCUAAUACCGCAUGACGACUACGGUCCAAAGGUCGCAAGACCGCCUGUGGAGGA